UCGCUGAGCACAGGGUCGGCGCGCGCGUGCGCGGAGGAGAGGCCAGCAGGGCCGCAGACCAGUGUCCCGCGCUAGCGGUGGGCACCGCUGGGCGCUUGCUGCUUGGUCCCCGCCCCGCGCUGCCCGGACGGGGACAGACCCCGGCCGAGACUCGAGGCUGCAGGAUGGCGCAGACGGCCAUGUCCGAGACCUAUGAUUUCUUAUUCAAGUUCUUGGUUAUCGGAAAUGCAGGAACUGGCAAAUCUUGCUUACUUCAUCAAUUUAUUGAAAAGAAAUUCAAAGAUGACUCUAAUCACACAAUAGGAGUGGAAUUUGGUUCAAAGAUAAUAAAUGUUGGUGGUAAAUAUGUCAAGUUACAGAUCUGGGACACAGCAGGACAAGAGCGAUUCAGGUAGCCUUUUCUCUUAGUUAAUAAAAGUAUUUAAAAUGGAUUCCAAAUAAUUGAUUGUGUUCUCUUACUGUGUAGACUGUCACCUCCCCUAACCUGCACUGAGUUCAGAAACUCCACCUCACAAGACAGCACUGAUGAACUGCAGACUCUGAGUGAGGCCGACUUGCAGUCGGGGAUGUGUCCACAUGUGCUUUUAGCUGAAAUCAAGUCAAAGCAGUGGCGCAAAUGAUUUUUUAUGUAUCUCCCUUCUGAAGAGGAGUUUUAAACCCUCUUCUGUGUUGUGUUCUGCUUAUUUACACUAACUGGGUCAUGGUCUGGUAGCCGACGUGCAUCCUACAGGACAUUCUGUCCUCCA